AUGAACGCUGGCGGCGUGCCUAAUACAUGCAAGUCGAGCGAACGGACGAGAAGCUUGCUUCUCUGAUGUUAGCGGCGGACGGGUGAGUAACACGUGGAUAACCUACCUAUAAGACUGGGAUAACUUCGGGAAACCGGAGCUAAUACCGGAUAAUAUUUUGAACCGCAUGGUUCAAAAGUGAAAGACGGUCUUGCUGUCACUUAUAGAUGGAUCCGCGCUGCAUUAGCUAGUUGGUAAGGUAACGGCUUACCAAGGCAACGAUGCAUAGCCGACCUGAGAGGGGGGUCGGCCAAACUGGAACUGAGACACGGUCCCGACUCCUAAGGGAGGCCGCAGUAGGGAAUCUUCCGCAAUGGGCGGAAGCCUGACCGAGGCAAGCCGCGUGAGUGAUGAAGGUCUUCGGAUCGUAAAACUCUGUUAUUUGGGAAGAAAAUAUGUGUAAGUAACUGUGCACCUUUUGGCGGUACCUAAUCAGAAAGGCAAGGGUAAAUUCGUG
rnacentral:rRNA from 1 species